rnacentral:rRNA from 1 species
UGGGGAAUCUUGCUCAAUGGGCGCAAGCCUGAUCCAGCCAUGCCGCGUGAGUGAAGAAGGCCCUAGGGUUGUAAAGCUCUUUCACCUGCGAAGAUGAUGACGGUAGCAAGACAAGAAGCCCCGGCUAACUCCGUGCCAGCAGCCGCGGUAAUACGGAGGGGGCUAGCGUUGCUCGGAAUUACUGGGCGUAAAGGGCGCGCAGGCGGAACACGAAGUCAGACGUGAAAGCCCCGGGCUUAACCUGGGAACUGCGUUUGAAACUUGUGAUCUGGAGUCUCGGAGAGGGUGGUGGAAUUCCCAGUGUAGAGGUGAAAUUCGUAGAUAUUGGGAAGAACACCAGUGGCGAAGGCGGCCACCUGGACGAGUACUGACGCUGAGGCGCGAAAGCGUGGGGAGCAAACAGGAUUAGAUACCCCCGUAGUCC